AUGAUGGCAACGGGAGAUAUCAAGUGAAUUCAUGUAUGAAUCAUUCAUUUUGAUAGCCGAAGGAGCAAUAUGAAGAUUGCCGAAGCUUCAUAGAAACUCUCAGGCAAAAGUAUCGUUGUUGGAUG
rfam:Clostridium aceticum strain DSM 1496, complete genome.